UCGAGAAUCUUCGGCAAUGGACGCAAGUCCGACCGAGCGACGCCGCGUGCGGGAUGAAGGCCUUCGGGUUGUAAACCGCUGUCAGUGGGGAGGGAAUCCAGGGGAGUUAUCUCUUCUGGUUGACCUAUCUUCGGAGGAAGUGCGGGCUAAGUUCGUGCCAGCAGCCGCGGUAAGACGAACCGCACAAACGUUAUUCGGAAUCACUGGGCUUAAAGGGUGCGUAGGCGGUCCGGAAAGUUGGGUGUGAAAUCCCUCGUCUCAACCGAGGAACUGCGCUCAAAACUACCGGACUUGAGGGAGACAGAGGUGAGCGGAACUUAGGGUGGAGCGGUGAAAUGCGUUGAUAUCCUGAGGAACACCAGUUGCGAAGGCGGCUCACUGGGUCUUCUCUGACGCUGAGGCACGAAAGCUAGGGGAGCGAACG
rnacentral:rRNA from 1 species